CAAGUCUUGACAUACCGCGCAAGGCCCUGGAGACAGGGAGAUAGUUAUGGCGGAUACAGGUGGUGCAUGGUUGUCGUCAGCUCGUGUCGUGAGAUGUUGGGUUAAGUCCCGCAACGAGCGCAACCCUUAUCUUUAGUUACCAUCAUUCAGUUGGGGACUCUAGAGAGACUGCCGGUGACAAACCGGAGGAAGGUGGGGAUGACGUCAAAUCAUCAUGCCCCUUAUGACUUGGGCUACACACGUACUACAAUGGCGUAUACAGAGAGAAGCGAAGUGGCGACAUGGAGCAAACCUCACAAAGUACGUCUCAGUUCAGAUUGAAGUCUGCAACUCGACUUCAUGAAGGCGGAAUCGCUAGUAAUCGCGGAUCAGCAUGCCGCGGUGAAUACGUUCU
rnacentral:rRNA from 1 species